rnacentral:piRNA from 1 species
UAAGGAUAUAAGUGUGGUCUCUUCAUCGG